rnacentral:misc_RNA from 1 species
GAUGGUGAAUUGAUUACUGAGACUGAGACUGAGACACAAGUGAAGAGGACUAUUUACCUCAUCUAUGAUAUGAUGGCAUUUAAUGAAUCCUCUGUUACAGAGCUACCUUUCCAUCAUCGAUUAAGGCUAAUUGAAGAAGAGGUGAUCCGUCCCCGAAACUUUGAACGUGAUUUUUUGUCCACGUGCAUAAAUCCGUACCACCACUAUGGCCUGGAGCAAUUUGAAGUGAGGAGGAAGGAUUUCUAUUUGCUAUCUGCAGCUUCUACGCUCAUAAAAG